rnacentral:rRNA from 1 species
CCUACGGGUGGCAGCAGUGAGGAAUAUUGGUCAAUGGGCGCGAGCCUGAACCAGCCAAGUAGCGUGAAGGAUGACUGCCCUACGGGUUGUAAACUUCUUUUAUAAAGGAAUAAUUUGAGGCACGUGUGCCUGUUUGUAUGUACUUUAUGAAUAAGGAUCGGCUAACUCCGUGCCAGCAGCCGCGGUAAUACGGAGGAUCCGAGCGUUAUCCGGAUUUAUUGGGUUUAAAGGGAGCGUAGAUGGGUUGUUAAGUCAGAUGUGAAAGUUUGAGGCUCAACCGUGAAAUUGCAAUUGAUACUGGCAGUCUUGAGUACAGUUGAGGUAGGCGGAAUUCGUGGUGUAGCGGUGAAAUGCUUAGAUAUCACGCAGAACUCCGAUUGCGAAGGCAGCUUACUAAACUGUUACUGACAUUGAGGCUCGAAAGUGUGGGGAGCAAACAGGAUUAGAUACCCCUGUAGUC